UGUAUCUUUUCAAUAUUUUUAGCUUUGUUCUGGCUUUUCUUUAUAUUUUCCUUAUGUUACAUUGCUGUAUACAUAUAUACAUUUGCCAUUUUACCUCCGAUUCACAACAAAUAUUUCUUCCUUCGCUAAGCUUAGUGUAAUUUUGGACCUGUGUCCAGGUCGACGACGGAGCUGUCAAACAGCAACAGGCGUCUGAAAUAUUGCCGAGGGCGGUACAAAAACAUCGUACGCUACUCUUUUGUGGAACCAAGAGCGACAGACAACCGACUCUGAGUUCAUUAAGAGAAUUCAGCUUUUGCGGAUGUGGACUUUUGAGCGGUCGCCACGAAAAACGUUGUGUUGUGUGUGUCAGUGGAUGUCAGGCUAAUGUCUGUUAGCUCUUUGCUUAGCUCGAGUUUUGUUGACAAACAAGCCCCUCAGCUAGUCACAGAGCUAACGCUAGCUGCAUUACCAACUUUGGUGUUUCGGGGUUAGCUCGUCAUUUUCGAUAAGUACUUAUAGGCAAAGACAUGGAACCCAGCUUGGACUUCCCUUACAGACAUCUCUCUAAAAUAAAAACGGGUCUCCAAGGACUUAGACAUCUUUCAAAUAUAUAAAAUCUGUCUCAUCGUGGUGGACUCCCGAGUUACAAGCACCAAGGAACUGGACUAGAAGGAAACAUCUUGGAACCAGCCAGGGUUUGUCGCCGGGGGCACCCUAAACAAAAUUCAAAACUGAAGUUUAUAAAAAGGCCCAUAUUACCCUCACUGGUAUCACCAUCUUUUACGUCACCA